rnacentral:rRNA from 1 species
GAUGAACGCUGGCGGCGUGCCUAAUACAUGCAAGUCGAGCGAAGCGGGGACGGGUGAGUACCCCGUGGCUAAACUCCUCUAAGACUGGGGUAACUUCGGGCAACCGGAGCUAACCCGGAUCCUUAUCGAUGGUUCCGCGCUGCAUUAGCUAGUUGGUAAGGUAACGGCUUACCAAGGCAACGAUGCAUAGCCGACCUGAGAGGGUGAUCGGCCACACUGGAACUGAGACACGGUCCAGACGCCGACGGGAGGCAGCAGUAGGGAAUAUGCCGCAAUGGGCGAAAGCCUGACAGAGCAAAGCCGCGUGAGUGAAGAAGGUCUUCGGAUCGUAAAACUCUGUUAUUAGGGAAGCGGUACCUAAUCAGAAAGCCACGGCUAACUACGUGCCAGCCGCCGCGGUAAUAC